rnacentral:rRNA from 1 species
GAUGAACGCUGACAGAAUGCUUAACACAUGCAAGUCAACUUGAACUUCGGUUUGGGUGGCGGACGGGUGAGUAACGCGUAAAGAACUUGCCUCACAGCUAGGGACAACAUUUGGAAACGAAUGCUAAUACCUGAUAUUAUGAUUUUAGGGCAUCCUAGAAUUAUGAAAGCUAUAUGCGCUGUGAGAGAGCUUUGCGUCCCAUUAGCUAGUUGGAGAGGUAACGGCUCACCAAGGCGAUGAUGGGUAGCCGGCCUGAGAGGGUGAACGGCCACAAGGGGACUGAGACACGGCCCUUACGCCUACGGGAGGCAGCAGUGGGGAAUAUUGGACAAUGGACCAAGAGUCUGAUCCAGCAAUUCUGUGUGCACGAUGAAGUUUUUCGGAAUGUAAAGUGCUUUCAGUUGGGAAGAAAAAAAUGACGGUACCAACAGAAGAAGUGACGGCUAAAUACGUG